AUUUAUUUUAUAAAUGAUAUAUUUUUAAGUAAUUAGGCAAAAUAAUUAUAUUCACCUGUUUAACAAAAACAUGUCUUUUUGAUUUUAAUAUAAAGUCAGUUCUGCUCAAUGAGGAAUUAAAUAGCUGCAGUAUAUUGACUGUACAAAGGUAGCAUAAUCAUUUGUCUUUUAAUUGAAGGCUGGAAUGAAUGAAUUAAUGAAAUAUAAACUGUCUCAAUAAUAUAAAAUAAAUUUAAAUUUUAAGUUAAAAUGCUUAAUUUAAUUUAAGGGACGAUAAGACCCUAUAGAAUUUUAUAUAUUAAAAAUUUUUUUAAAUUAAUAAUAUAUUUGGUUGGGAGGAUUUUUAAAUUUAAUUAACUUUAAAAUUUUAAAAAUAUUGAUUAAUAGAAUUUAAAUUGAAAUAUAUUUAUUAUAAUAAUUAGAAUAAAUUACCUUAGGGAUAACAGCGUAAUAUUUUUGGAAAGAUCAAAUUGAAAAAAUUGUUUGCGACCUCGAUGUUGAAUUAAAAUGAAUUAUAAAUGUAGGUGUUUAUAAAUUUAGUCUGUUCGACUAUUGAAAUUUUACAUGAUUUGAGUUCAGAUCGACGUGAGUCAGAUUGGUUUCUAUCUUUAAAAAAAUUUAAAAUUUUUGUACGAAAGGACU
rnacentral:rRNA from 1 species